rnacentral:rRNA from 1 species
AAAGCCCCGACGGGAGGGGAUGGGCUCCGCGGCCCAUCAGGUAGACGGCGGGGUGACGGCCCACCGUGCCGACAACGGGUAGCCGGGUUGAGAGACCGACCGGCCAGAUUGGGACUGAGACACGGCCCAGACUCCUACGGGAGGCAGCAGUGGGGAAUCUUGCGCAAUGGGGGGAACCCUGACGCAGCGACGCCGCGUGCGGGACGGAGGCCUUCGGGUCGUAAACCGCUUUCAGCAGGGAAGAGUCAAGACUGUACCUGCAGAAGAAGCCCCGGCUAACUACGUGCCAGCAGCCGCGGUAAUACGUAGGGGGCGAGCGUUAUCCGGAUUCAUUGGGCGUAAAGCGCGCGUAGGCGGCCCGGCAGGCCGGGGGUCGAAGCGGGGGGCUCAACCCCCCGAAGCCCCCGGAACCUCCGCGGCUUGGGUCCGGUAGGGGAGGGUGGAACACCCGGUGUAGCGGUGGAAUGCGCAGAUAUCGGGUGGAACACCGGUGGCGAAGGCGGCCCUCUGGGCCGAGACCGACGCUGAGGCGCGAAAGCUGGGGGAGCGAACAGGAUUAGAUACCCUGGUAGUCCCAGCCGUAAACGAUGGACGCUAGGUGGGGGGGGACGAUCCCCCCGUGCCCGCAGCCAACGCAUUAAGCGUCCCGCUAGGGGAGUACGCGCGCAAGGGUAAAACUCAAAGGGAAUUGACGGGGGGCCCGCACAAGCAGCGGAGCAUGUGGCUUAAUUGGAAGCAACGCGAAGAACCUUACCAGGGCUUGACAUAUGGGUGAAGCGGGGGAGACCCUGUGGCCGAGAGGAGCCCAUACAGGUGGUGCAUGGCUGUUGUCAGCUCGUGUCGUGAGAUGUUGGGUUAAGUCCCGCAACGAGCGCAACCCCCGCCGCGUGUUGCCAUCGGGUGAUGCCGGGAACCCACGCGGGACCGCCGCCGUCAAGGCGGAGGAGGGCGGGGACGACGUCAAGUCAUCAUGCCCCUUAUGCCCUGGGCUGCACACGUGCUACAAUGGCCGGUACAGAGGGAUGCCACCCCGCGAGGGGGAGCGGAUCCCGGAAAGCCGGCCCCAGUUCGGAUUGGGGGCUGCAACCCGCCCCCAUGAAGUCGGAGUUGCUAGUAAUCGCGGAUCAGCAUGCCGCGGUGAAUGCGUUCCCGGGCCUUGCACACCCCGCCCGCCA